UACGUAGGGGGCAAGCGUUGUCCGGAAUCAUUGGGCGUAAAGCGCGCGUAGGCGGCCAGAUAAGUCCGGUGUGAAAGUCACAGGCUCAACCUGUGAAUGCCGCUGGAAACUGUCUGGCUUGAGUCCGGAAGGGGCGAGUGGAAUUCCUGGUGUAGCGGUGAAAUGCGCAGAUAUCCAGGAGGAACACCAAUGGCGAAGGCAGCUCGCUGGAACGGUACUGACGCUGAGGCGCGAAAGCGUGGGGAGCGAACAGG
rnacentral:rRNA from 1 species